rnacentral:rRNA from 1 species
UACGUAGGGGGCAAGCGUUAUCCGGAUUUACUGGGUGUAAAGGGGGCGUAGACGGAAUUGCAAGUCUGAUGUGAAAAUCCGGGGCCCAACCCCGGAACUGCGUUGGAAACUGUAUUUCUAGAGUGUCGGAGAGGCAAGUGGAAUUCCUGGUGUAGCGGUGAAAUGCGUAGAUAUCAGGAGGAACACCAGUGGCGAAGGCGGCUUGCUGGACGAUGACUGACGUUGAGGCUCGAAAGCGUGGGGAGCAAACAGG